rnacentral:rRNA from 1 species
UACGUAGGGGGCUAGCGUUGUCCGGAAUCAUUGGGCGUAAAGAGCGUGUAGGCGGUUUGGUAGGUCCGCUGUGAAAACUCGAGGCUCAACCUCGAGACGCCGAUGGAAACCCUCGAACUAGAGUCCGGAAGAGGAGAAUGGAAUUCCUGGUGUAGCGGUGAAAUGCGCAGAUAUCAGGAAGAACACCCGUGGCUAAGGCGGUUCUCUAGUACGGUACUGACGCUGAGACGCGAAAGCGUGGGGAGCGAACAGG